CAGGGAUUGCCUCAGUAACGGCGAGUGAAGCGGCAACAGCUCAAAUUUUAAAGCUGGCGUCUUUGGCGCCCGCGUUGUAAUUUGGAGAGGCAUCUUCGGUUUGGGCGCCAGCCUAUGUUCCUUGGAACAGGACGUCACAGAGGGUGAGAAUCCCGUGCCUGGCUGGCUGUCCCUUUCCAUGUGAAGUGCCUUCGACGAGUCGAGUUGUUUGGGAAUGCAGCUCAAAAUGGGUGGUAAAUUUCAUCUAAAGCUAAAUAUUGGCGGGAGACCGAUAGCGCACAAGUAGAGUGAUCGAAAGAUGAAAAGCACUUUGAAAAUAGAGUUAAAAAGUACGUGAAAUUGUUGAAAGGGAAGCGCUUGAGACCAGACUCGGCCGGAGAUGAUCAGCCGUCCUUCUGGGCGGUGCACUCGUUUCCGGCCGGGCCAGCAUCGGUUGAGACGGCGGGAUAAAGGCCCGGGGAAUGUGGCUCCUUUCGGGGAGUGUUAUAGCCCCGGGCGCAAUGCCGCCAGCCUCGACCGAGGACCGCGCUUAAUUGCUAGGAUGCUGGCGUAAUGGUCUUCAGCGACCCGUCUUGAAACACGGACCAAGGAGUCUAACAUCUAUGCGAGUGUUUGGGUGUCAAACCCUUGCGCGUAAUGAAAGUGAACGGAGGUGGGAACCCCUCGCGGGGCGCACCAUCGACCGGUCCUGAUGUCUUCGGAUGGAUCUGAGUAGGAGCAUAGCUGUUGGGACCCGAAAGAUGGUGAACUAUGCCUGAAUAGGGUGAAGCCAGAGGAAACUCUGGUGGAGGCUCGCAGCGGUUCUGACGUGCAAAUCGAUCGUCAAAUUUGGGUAUAGGGGCGAAAGACUAAUCGAACC
rnacentral:rRNA from 1 species